rnacentral:rRNA from 1 species
UGCAUAUCAAUAAGCGGAGGAAAAGAAACUAACAAGGAUUCCCCUAGUAACGGCGAGUGAAGCGGGAUGAGCUCAAAUUUAAAAUCUGGCGGCCUCAGGUCGUCCGAGUUGUAGUCUAGAGAAUCGUUUUCCGCGUUGGCCUGUGUACAAGUCCCUUGGAACAGGGCGUCAUAGAGGGUGAGAAUCCCGUCCUUGACACAGAUUACCAAUGCUUUGUGAUGCGAUCUCGAAGAGUCGAGUUGUUUGGGAAUGCAGCUCAAAAUGGGUGGUAAAUUCCAUCUAAAGCUAAAUAUUGGCGAGAGACCGAUAGCGAACAAGUACCGUGAGGGAAAGAUGAAAAGCACUUUGGAAAGAGAGUUAAACAGUACGUGAAAUUGUUAAAAGGGAAACGAUUGAAGUCAGUCAUGCUUUCCGAGACUCAGCCGAUUCUGUCGGUGUACUUCUCGGUUGGCAGGCCAGCAUCAGUUUCGAUCUGUGGAAAAGGUUGGAGGGAACGUGGCAUCCUCGGAUGUGUUAUAGCCCUUCUUCGAAUACAUAGAGCGGGACUGAGGAACGCAGCGCGCCUUUUAUUAGGUUGGCCCUCGGGUACAUACGCGCUUAGGAUGCUGGCAUAAUGGCUUUAAACGACCCGUCUUGAAA